UACGGGGGGGGCAAGCGUUGUUCGGAAUUACUGGGCGUAAAGCGCACGUAGGCGGAUUGCUAAGUCAGGGGUGAAAUCCCGGGGCUCAACCUCGGAACUGCCUUUGAUACUGACAAUCUCGAGUCCGAUAGAGGUGGGUGGAAUUCCUAGUGUAGAGGUGAAAUUCGUAGAUAUUAGGAAGAACACCGGUGGCGAAGGCGGCCCACUGGAUCGGUACUGACGCUGAGGUGCGAAAGCGUGGGGAGCAAACAGG
rnacentral:rRNA from 1 species